AUUGAAGUUUGAUCCUGGCUCAGGACAAACGCUGGCGGCGUGCUUAACACAUGCAAGUCGAACGGUCUCCCUUUGGGGAGAUAGUGGCGGACGGGUGAGUAACACGUAGUUGACCUGCCCAAUCGUGGGGAAUAACUGCCCGAAAGGGUAGCUAAUACCGCAUAAGCUCACAGGGGUUGCCCUGUGAGGAAACCCUGGUCUUCGGAUCUGGGGCGAAUGGAGGGGACUGCGGCGGAUUAGCUAGAUGGUGGGGUAACGGCCUACCAUGGCGACGAUCCGUAGCUGGUCUGAGAGGACGACCAGCCACACUGGGACUGAGACACGGCCCAGACUCCUACGGGAGGCAGCAGUGGGGAAUAUUGGACAAUGGGCGCAAGCCUGAUCCAGCAAUGCCGCGUGGAUGAAGAAGGUUUUCGGAUUGUAAAGUCCUUUCGGCGGGGACGAUGAUGACGGUACCCGCAGAAGAAGCCCCGGCUAACUUCGUGCCAGCAGCCGCGGUAAUUCCCUGUGUGA
rnacentral:rRNA from 1 species